ACUCUCACUAAAGGAGAUCAUUUUACAAACUUGGAAAGAUGUAGAAAGAAUUAACAAGGGCCCUGUGCAAAAAUGAUACACUUAUUUUUUAACCAUUUCUAUUAUUU
rnacentral:snRNA from 1 species